rnacentral:lncRNA from 1 species
GAAACUCGACGGCAGCGGCAACUGCAUCACCAACUUGGCUUGUCGCAGGCGGAGAUUUUGUGUCAUUCGGCCACUUUUCUGCGACUGAAAUCCAAGGCCUAAUGGUCAACUAUUCAACGUGGAUGGGUUAAUGACUCCUGAUGUGCAGUUUACGGUGAACUUAAGCAAGAGGACAGAAGGCGUGUAAAUUGACAGAAGGUUCUCAAGAUAUCCGAAAAUGGACAGAGGGGUUGAUAUUCUAAAAAUCUAAGAAUAGAUACCAUUCGGCUCAAGUAACUCCACAAAUAAAUGAAUUUAGAAGAGUGUUCCUAUUAUAAAAAAAUUAUGUUUACAAUAAGCUUGUAUUAUGUUUGACGAAAUUCCAACGAGGAUUCAUAAAAUUAGGCUCCAAACGAAUUUUUUUGAAGUGGCAUAUUCUUUACACAUAACAACAAUGUUAUGUUUACUCGAGAACCUAUCUCUACCCCAUUCAUCGACAUAUUUGUAUAAUCAUUUUUACAAGAUCGCAUAGAUUCAGGAGAUCACAAUGAACCUAAGUAAAGGCUUGAUGAAAUUA